GUAAAAAAUUUAUAAGAAUAUGAUGUUGGUUCAGAUUAAGCGCUAAAUAAGGACAUGACACAUGCGAAUCAUACGUUUAUUAUUGAUAAGAUAAUAAAUAUGUGGUGUAAACGUGAGUAAUUUUAUUAGGAAUUAAUGAACUAUAGAAUAAGCUAAAUACUUAAUAUAUUAUUAUAUAAAAAUAAUUUAUAUAAUAAAAAGGAUAUAUAUAUAAUAUAUAUUUAUCUAUAGUCAAGCCAAUAAUGGUUUAGGUAGUAGGUUUAUUAAGAGUUAAACCUAGCCAACGAUCCAUAAUCGAUAAUGAAAGUUAGAACGAUCACGUUGACUCUGAAAUAUAGUCAAUAUCUAUAAGAUACAGCAGUGAGGAAUAUUGGACAAUGAUCGAAAGAUUGAUCCAGUUACUUAUUAGGAUGAUAUAUAAAAAUAUUUUAUUUUAUUUAUAAAUAUUAAAUAUUUAUAAUAAUAAUAAUAAUAAUAUAUAUAUAUAAAUUGAUUAAAAAUAAAAUCCAUAAAUAAUUAAAAUAAUGAUAUUAAUUACCAUAUAUAUUUUUAUAUGGAUAUAUAUAUUAAUAAUAAUAUUAAUUUUAUUAUUAUUAAUAAUAUAUUUUAAUAGUCCUGACUAAUAUUUGUGCCAGCAGUCGCGGUAACACAAAGAGGGCGAGCGUUAAUCAUAAUGGUUUAAAGGAUCCGUAGAAUGAAUUAUAUAUUAUAAUUUAGAGUUAAUAAAUAUAAUUAAAGAAUUAUAAUAGUAAAGAUGAAAUAAUAAUAAUAAUUAUAAGACUAAUAUAUGUGAAAAUAUUAAUUAAAUAUUAACUGACAUUGAGGGAUUAAAACUAGAGUAGCGAAACGGAUUCGAUACCCGUGUAGUUCUAGUAGUAAACUAUGAAUACAAUUAUUUAUAAUAUAUAUUAUAUAUAAAUAAUAAAUGAAAAUGAAAGUAUUCCACCUGAAGAGUACGUUAGCAAUAAUGAAACUCAAAACAAUAGACGGUUACAGACUUAAGCAGUGGAGCAUGUUAUUUAAUUCGAUAAUCCACGACUAACCUUACCAUAUUUUGAAUAUUAUAAUAAUUAUUAUAAUUAUUAUAUUACAGGCGUUACAUUGUUGUCUUUAGUUCGUGCUGCAAAGUUUUAGAUUAAGUUCAUAAACGAACAAAACUCCAUAUAUAUAAUUUUAAUUAUAUAUAAUUUUAUAUUAUUUAUUAAUAUAAAGAAAGGAAUUAAGACAAAUCAUAAUGAUCCUUAUAAUAUGGGUAAUAGACGUGCUAUAAUAAAAUGAUAAUAAAAUUAUAUAAAAUAUAUUUAAUUAUAUUUAAUUAAUAAUAUAAAACAUUUUAAUUUUUAAUAUAUUUUUUUAUUAUAUAUUAAUAUGAAUUAUAAUCUGAAAUUCGAUUAUAUGAAAAAAGAAUUGCUAGUAAUACGUAAAUUAGUAUGUUACGGUGAAUAUUCUAACUGUUUCGCACUAAUCACUCAUCACGCGUUGAAACAUAUUAUUAUCUUAUUAUUUAUAUAAUAUUUUUUAAUAAAUAUUAAUAAUUAUUAAUUUAUAUUUAUUUAUAUCAGAAAUAAUAUGAAUUAAUGCGAAGUUGAAAUACAGUUACCGUAGGGGAACCUGCGGUGGGCUUAUAAAUAUCUUAAAUAUUCUUACA
rnacentral:ncRNA from 4 species